rnacentral:rRNA from 1 species
CCUACGGGUGGCAGCAGUGAGGAAUAUUGGUCAAUGGUCGUAAGACUGAACCAGCCAAGCCGCGUGAGGGAUGAAGGUACAGAGUAUCGUAAACCUCUUUUGUCAGGGAACAAAGGCGGGGACGUGUCCCCGGAUGAGUGUACCUGAAGAAAAAGCAUCGGCUAACUCCGUGCCAGCAGCCGCGGUAAUACGGAGGAUGCGAGGGUUAUCCGGAUUUAUGGGGUUUAAAGGGUGCGAAGGCGGUCUGUUAAGUCAGCGGUAAAAGCCCGGGGCUCACCCCCGGCCCGCCGUUGAAACUGGCAGUCUCGAGUUGGAGAGAGGUAUGCGGAAUGCGUGGUGUAGCGGUGAAAUGCAUAGAUAUCGCGCAGAACUCCGAUUGCGAAGGCAGCAUGCCGGCUCCACACUGACGCUGAGGCACGAAAGCGUGGGUAUCGAACAGGAUUAGAUACCCUAGUAGUC